GCGCGAGUGGCGGAAUUGGCAGACGCGCUGGAUUUAGGUUCCAGUGUCUACGGACGUGGGGGUUCAAGUCCCCCCUCGCGCACCG
rnacentral:tRNA from 8 species